rnacentral:rRNA from 1 species
CCUACGGGAGACAGCAGUGAGGAAUAUUGGUCAAUGGCCGGGAGGCUGAACCAGCCAAGUCGCGUGAAGGAAGACGGCCCUACGGGUUGUAAACUUCUUUUGUCAGGGAGUAAGGUGUACGUCGGGACCUGCUGUGUGAGUACCUGAAGAAAAAGCAUCGGCUAACUCCGUGCCAGCAGCCGCGGUAAUACGGAGGAUGCGAGCGUUAUCCGGAUUUAUUGGGUUUAUGGGGUGCGCAGGCGGAGGCACAAGUCAGCGGGAAAAUCGCGGGGCUCAACCCCGCUCCGCAGUUGAAACUGUGACUCUUGAGUACGCGAAGGGUAGGCGGAAUGCGUGGUGUAGCGGUGAAAUGCAUAGAUAUCACGCAGAACUCCGAUCGCGAAGGCAGCCUACUGGAGCGCAACUGACGCUGAGGCACGAAAGCGUGGGUAUCGAACAGGAUUAGAUACCCUGGUAGUC